AUGCUGCUGGUAACUGUAUACUCUCUCCUAACAGUUUUAUUACUUGUUGUAUGCAGGCUGCUUGGAGCCUACAAUCAGGCUAUUUUUCCCUUUAAACGCCUAUUUCUUGAUAUCAGGUGCUCCUUGAGCUGUCUAAGAAAAAGCAGACCAUCAUUUCACCAUCUUCGGCCGCCCCAGGGUAUUUCAUCUCUUUGGCCUCUUCCAGCAUUGUCUUCUUUGUUCCUGACUAUAAACAUUGAUGCAUGUGCCCUGUUCUCAGGUGGAAAAUCAUUUGCUUGUAGCUUGUAUUGUCCAUCUAUUGUGUUAACUUGCACUGUGCUGGUACUUAUCAUUUGCAAAAUAUAUCUCUAUUUUUGCUAUUAUGAGAAUGUCAUAUGCAUUGUUUCCUGUUAA
rnacentral:rRNA from 1 species